ensembl:snRNA Gm25542 predicted gene, 25542
CCCCUUGACAGGAUGGAAGAGACCCUUGGUCCUAACAACACACAUAUUUUUAAGGCAUUGCAAUCUACUUUGUAGUGUCUAGAACUAAUUUGAA